AUUCUACACUUACUUGGCUGGCCGAUGAACUCACAAGUGUAGGUAGUGUGCUACAUGAGGGGCAAGUCUUUUCGCUAACACCACAAGGGUCUCUGGCCCAAUGAGUGGAGUUUGAUAGUAAUUCUUGCUACAAGU
rnacentral:snoRNA from 2 species